GCCCCUGGGCUGGAAUAGAGUGGAGUAUUAAACAUCCCAAUUCUCCCAACCAGCCUCUCCCAUGUUAUAUAUAUAUAUAUUACAUACACAUGCACACGUUUCAAAUUUCAGUCUUACAGUGUAUAUAAAUGUAUAUACUUAUGUUUUCUGCACAAGCCAGGACAUCGGUUAUUUCCUAAUCUAGUCUCCAGAAGAGAAAAAAGAAAAACAUACAGAAAGGAAUGUAUAAGUUACGGAGGAUAAAGAGAGGGGUUAUGAUAUGAUCAAAACAAUAACAGUUAAGAUCUUUUGAGAUUUUAUUAUUGUAACCAGUAAUCAGCUGCUCACCACUCAGAGACCAAAAACAUGAGAAGCAAGGCAUGGUGAAAGGAAAGGAAGGCAACUUUAUUGAUCAAAUGCUAGCAGAUGGGAGAUGGCCGGGCUUCUGCCUCAAAGAAGCCAUCUCUGCCUUUUGGGCUGAGUGAAGGGGUUUUGGCAGGAAAAGCCCCUCACCACCCUUCCCAGCCUCUGUAACCAUCUUUCUACUCUCUAUGUCCAUGAGUUCAACAGUUUUAAUUUCUAGAUCCCACAAAUAAGUGAGAACAUAUUUGUCUUUUUGUGCCUGGCUUAUUUCACUUAAUAUUGUGAUCUCCAGUUCCAUCCAUGUUGUUGCAAAUGACAGCAUCUAUUUCUUUUUAUGGCUGAAUAGUACUCCAUUGUGUAUAUGUACCACAUUUCCUUUAUUCAUCUGCUGAUGGACACUCAGGAUGCUUCCUGAUCUUAGGAUAACUUUGGCUAUCCUGGGUCUUUUGUGGUUCCACAUAAAUUUUAGGAUUUUUUUUUCUAUUUCUGAAGAAUGUCACUGUGUAAGUCUGUAGCCACCAUUUGUGUCUUAAUUAAAUGAUCUAAAUCUUUAAUGUUUUCACCAUUUUUAUGAAUGAAUCUCAGAGACUGAUCUGAUAGUCGUGUCGUGUAGCAACAUAAACAUCUUCCACAACCUUUAAAAAGUUUGUUGGCAUUAAAAUUGUGGCUUUCAACAUCCUUUCAUUCCCAGAGGCUUAUUUUAGCAUGUCAAGUGGAUGUGUUGAAGAUUUAUCACAUAGAACUCCACAUUAAUUUUUUACUUUAAGUGAUCACCCAUUUUUGUUCCGACAUAAAGCAAUAUUCACUGCAGCUGUUAGCAUAUGACAGUUGACUGGCUGAACUUGGAAAUACUGCUGCUGCUCGUUGAAACAUGCUGCCAUAGAUUCUUGCUGCAAUGUGAUUGCUCUUCUGUCUUCACAAGUUAUUCAAGAAGAAAAUUAGUCUCAUUUCUUUACGGAGACACUUUGCAUAAACAUGCAGUCAUCAUUGAUCUACAAAUCAUAUAAAGUUAAAUGUAAUCAAUUAUAGUUAUAUAUAAGUAUUCAGGGUGCUACUAUAGGGGUGUCUUUGCUGCCAAUGGCUGCAAGGGGUUGACAACAUCAUUUCAGGGACCCUCAUUCAUUUGCAGCUGGGAUUCCUUGAUCUAAGAAUGGACUGACAUGUUUUUAUGAGUAUAAAUACUCACAGAUGUCCUCAUUCUUUCUGAGCAGUUUGGAUGCCAUUUUGAGACCAGUUAGAACCCCUUCCCACUCUAUUUGGUUAAGAGACAGAAUUAUGUCACAUAUAAGCCAACACUGGUUUAAUCCAAAAGUCAUUUAUACAUUUGGCAUCAGUUCUGGUACUUCAGUUUUCUGCUAGUGUUUGUAUCAUAGCAAUAGAUUCCCUUUAAGAGUGAUAGGUGUCUGUGGAUGUGUUUAAGGAAGCAAUGUUUAAAUGCACUGAGAGGAACUGUGCUCACUUAGAAGAAAUGAGUCAUCAAAGUUGGGAAUUUUUUAAUCCUUGGAAAUUUUAAGGGUUUUUAUUUUUCUAUUUACUAAUUAAGGAUAUUUUGGAAACUUAAUUUUUUUGGUCAAAUAAAAUAGGUAAAUGGUAUUUCCCCUUUCCAAUCUUAACAUCGGUUCUACCUAAGAGAGUGACUUCUUUAACUUGUUUAACACUAACCUUUAAAAAAAUCAGUAAACAAAGCAGCAUUGCAAGCCUAUGAUAUAAAUGGUGACUGUUUAACCAAAAGUUGUUAUGUAACUAUACUGAGAGGAUUAGAAGGCAAGUGUGCAUGUAUGCUAGAUUCACUACCAUGACAGAAAGUCUACAACAGUAUCUUAGGUUGGGUUCCCUGUAAGAAACACUCUGUGCAGAAAGUUUACUGAGAAGUAUCUGUCUUGAAGGUCAACACCUGUGGAGGAAGAAGGAAGCAGGAUAGGGCAGGGAGAGGAG
rnacentral:lncRNA from 1 species